AUAAAUCUGCAUUUUAAUUGAGAUUCGUUUCAGACCACAGACUAAUGGCUGUCCAUUUCACUCUGGGCAGGAGUGAAGCAUGCCGUUUCUUUUAAUAAUCCCGAGUGACAAUAUGUUGACAAAGCAGUCACACUGGAUGCAUAUUGAAAAGAUCAUUUUGUACUGGGAGACCCGGUGUGAAUGCAAUGCAGCUUCUGAAUGGCAAGGCAAUUUCUUGGUGGCAGGAUGAAUUCUCUUCCCGGCCCCAGUCUGCUCUAUCCUAAGCCACUGUGAGGGAAGAAAAAUAAACCUCUCCAUCCUGAAAUGGGCCCAUUUUGUAUUUCAGGCCCAAGUGCACUGGAGAACUGUUCCAUGAAAAAUGAUGCCUGACCCUCAUCUUUUCCUCCAAGCAUUAACCUGGAAGCAGUUGGCUUAAGGAUGGACAGCCAGAUGGACAGGACCAGCGAUGCAGCUGGGCUGGAAAAGUCAUGGAGAUGUGGAGAGCAGUGUGUGUUAAGGAAGAUGCUAUGAGGAAAACAUCUCGAGGGCUUGUGUUCCACCUGGGACCUGCUGGACUGAGUGACACCAUAACUCAAGCCCCCCAGUUACC